UGUUGGUUGCCCGGAUGUGGGUGACAAAAUGCUCUUCAGAGACACAGGAAAAGGCGUCAUCCUGAGAGAAGACCACCACCCAUCUUAUACUGAAGUAUCUGUAAGACCUGCCACCAUUCUACAGCAUCUUAAGAAUCCCGUGAGCGGCUAUAGACAUGAAGACUCCCGAUAACACCAAGAUCUGGACGCCUUCCUGGAAAUUCCUGAUUAUUACUGUCCUCCUAGGAGCCAAUAUUGUUCUCAUCCGUAUUAUUGAAGCACUUGCUAAACACUCUGAAAUUCUGCAUGAGCUCUGUAUGAACAGCAGUGACGUGGCCGGAGGU